rnacentral:rRNA from 1 species
GAUGAACGCUAGCUACAGGCUUAACACAUGCAAGUCGAGGGGAAACGACAUCGAAAGCUUGCUUUUGAUGGGCGUCGACCGGCGCACGGGUGAGUAACGCGUAUCCAACCUGCCCACCACUUGGGGAUAACCUUGCGAAAGUAAGACUAAUACCCAAUGACGUCUCUAGAAGACAUCUGAAAGAGAUUAAAGAUUUAUCGGUGAUGGAUGGGGAUGCGUCUGAUUAGCUUGUUGGCGGGGUAACGGCCCACCAAGGCGACGAUCAGUAGGGGUUCUGAGAGGAAGGUCCCCCACAUUGGAACUGAGACACGGUCCAAACUCCUACGGGAGGCAGCAGUGAGGAAUAUUGGUCAAGGGACGAGAGUCUGAACCAGCCAAGUAGCGUGCAGGAUGACGGCCCUAUGGGUUGUAAACUGCUUUUAUAAGGGAAUAAAGUGAGUCUCGGGAGACUUUUUGCAUGUACCUUAUGAAUAAGGACCGGCUAAUUCCGUG